ACUCAGUGCGGUCGCAUUUCCAGCUCAUUCGAAAAACAUAAUUCAUGGGUCACCUAUCAAUAUCGCGAAACCGCUUCAACGUUUACUUUUACUCCCGGGAGGUACUUAUUAUACUGCGACAUAUGUUACCUAUUGGAGCAAUCCGAACAGGGUCCAAUCUAAUCAUCACACCGUCAGUGACGAUAACUCCUACGAGCGCACCUUCGAAUAGUGUAAAACUCAAAGCUGGAGAAAACCUUGCUAUAGAUCCCACCGCUCAAACCCAAAAUGCACUUCAUUCCGAAUGGAUGCCACCGGAGGUGGCUGUUGGAUGAUAUACAAUGAUCUAUGAGCUAUUUUAGAAGGGAACAAUACGACGUGCUUAUAGAAGAUUACUAUAAUAUGCUUUCCCCGGAGUUCCUUCCAGCUGUGGGGACAGAAGGUGGAUGUCGUCUUUUGCACAUCAAUUACAAUUUGUCGUUCGGAUUCUGUUUCUCCUUGCGGCACGAACACAUAUAUAUUUUGGUUCAACAACACAUGGUUCUAAAGGACAUCCGUGCAAGAACAUGCAAAGCAGGGAUUGUUAUAGUGAUACACUUUCUCAUUGGGAAGAGAAAUUCUAGCUGCUGGUAUACUUGCGCUCUCAGUGGCCGAACGAGAAGAGAAUGGAUGGAGUUCAGACGGCUACAAACCACCCAGUGACUGUUUCCCCGACGGCGGAAAAAAUCAACUGAUUGGUCAUUGGCGGAGGCUAUGAUAAACUCAACAAUAUGGUAGGAUGAUCCGACCGACACCCACCCGUGUUCGGAGUUACCGACGCGACUGACUUCGUGGGAACCAGAUUCAGAUGCCAAUUGUUCAGCAGUACAAUUAGAAAAAAAGGAGAAACAUAGAAAAAAGCCUUCUGCAUGCUCACACAAAAACCGAAAAAGGGUAGCAAACAUUCUAUGGUUUCAUUUGUGAAUAUGUUAUUUAGAGUAUAUCGAUAACCAAAUAGCCUUGAAGGGAUAGAG